GACGAACGCUGGCGGCGUGCCUAAUACAUGCAAGUUGAGCGCUGAAGGUUGGUACUUGUACCCACUGGAUGAGCAGCGAACGGGUGAGUAACGCGUGGGUAAUCUGCCUUUGAGCGGGGGACAACAUUUGGAAACGACUGCUAAUACCGCAUAAUAACUUUAAACACAAGUUUUAAGUUUGAAAGAUGCAUUUGCAUCACUCAAAGAUGAUCCCGCGUUGUAUUAGCUAGUUGGUGAGGUAAAGGCUCACCAAGGCGAUGAUACAUAGCCGACCUGAGAGGGUGAUCGGCCACAUUGGGACUGGAAAACGGCCCAAACUCCUACGGGAGGCAGCAGGAGGGAAAUUUCGGCAAUGGACGAAAGUCUGACCGAGCAACGCCGCGGGAGUGAAGAAGGUUUUCGGAUCGUAAAACUCUGUUGGUAGAGAAGAACGUUGGGGAGAGUGGAAAGCUCAUCAAGUGACGGUAACUACACAGAAAGGGACGGCUAACUACGUG
rnacentral:rRNA from 1 species